rnacentral:rRNA from 1 species
UACGAAGGGGGCUAGCGUUGCUCGGAAUGACUGGGCGUAAAGGGCGCGUAGGCGGUUUGCAUAGUCAGACGUGAAAUUCCUGGGCUUAACCUGGGGGCUGCGUUUGAUACGUGCGGACUUGAGUGGGGAAGAGGGUCGUGGAAUUCCCAGUGUAGAGGUGAAAUUCGUAGAUAUUGGGAAGAACACCGGUGGCGAAGGCGGCGACCUGGUCCUUGACUGACGCUGAUGCACGAAAGCUAGGGGAGCAAACAGG